rnacentral:rRNA from 1 species
GAUGAACGCUGGCGGUAUGCCUAACACAUGCAAGUCGUACGAGAGUUUUUAACUCUAGUGGCGGACGGGUGAGUAACACGUGAGAAUUUGCCUUUAGGAGGGGGAUAACAAUUGGAAACGAAUGUUAAUACCCCAUAUGCUUUUGAGUGAAAUGGAUUUUAUCCGCCUAGAGAGAAGCUCGCGGCUGAUUAGCUUGUUGGUAAGGUAAGAGCUUACCAAGGCGACGAUCAGUAUCUGGUUUGAGAGGACGAUCAGACACACUGGAACUGAGACACGGUCCAGACUCCUACGGGAGGCAGCAGUGGGGAAUUUUCCGCAAUGGGCGAAAGCCUGACGGAGCAAUACCGCGUGAGGGAAGAAUGCCUAUGGGUUGUAAACCUCUUUUUUCAGGGAGGAAUAAAAUGACGUGUACCUGAAGAAUAAGCAUCGGCUAACUCCGUG